rnacentral:rRNA from 1 species
GAUGAACGCUAGCGGCAGGCCUAAUACAUGCAAGUCGAACGGUGUCUUCGGACAUAGUGGCGCACGGGUGCGUAACACGUAUGCAACCUACCUUACAUUGGGGGAUAGCCUUUCGAAAGGGAGAUUAAUACCGCAUAAGACAGUAGCUGGGCAUCCAGCAGCUGUUAAAGAUUUAUCGAUGUAAGCUGGGCAGGCGUCAAAUUAGCUAGUUGGUGAGGUAACGGCUCACCAAGGCAAUGAUUGGUAGGGGAACUGAGAGGUCAAUCCCCCACACUGGCACUGAGAUACGGGCCAGACUCCUACGGGAGGCAGCAGUAGGGAAUAUUGGGCAAUGGACGCAAGUCUUACCCAGCCAUGCCGCGUGCAGGAUGAAGGCGUUAUGCGUUGUAAACUGCUUUUAUACAGGAAGAAACGACCAUUGCGAGAGGCAUUGACGGUACUGUAUGAAUAAGCACCGGCUAACUCCGUGCCAGCAGCCGCGGUAAUAC